GAUGAACGCUGGCGGCGUGCCUAAUACAUGCAAGUCGAGCGAACAGACGAGGAGCUUGCUCCUUUGUCGUUAGCGGCGGACGGGUGAGUAACACGUGGAUAACCUACCUAUAAGACUGGGAUAACUUCGGGAAACCGGAGCUAAUACCGUAUAAUAUACUGAACCGCAUGGUUCAUUAGUGAAAUACGGUUUUGCUGUCACUUAUAGAUGGAUCCGCGCUGGAUUAGCUAGUUGGUAAGGUAACGGCUUACCAAGGCAACGAUGCGUAGCCGACCUGAGAGGGUGGUCGGCCACACUGGAGCUGAAACACGGUCCAGAGUCCUACGGGAGGCAGCAGUAGCGAAUCGUACGCAAUGGGGGGAAGCCUGACGGAGCGGCGCCGCGUGAGUGAUGAAGGUCUUCGGAUCGUAAAACUCUGUUAUUGGGGAAGAACAGAUGUGUAAGGAACUAUGCACGUCGUGACGGUACCUGGUCAGAAAGCCACGGCUAACUACGUG
rnacentral:rRNA from 1 species